rnacentral:tRNA from 1 species
GGGUGAUUAGCUCAGCUGGGAGAGCACCUCCCUUACAAGGAGGGGGUCGGCGGUUCGACGACCCACCAUCUUUAA